AAUAAAGUUCGUUAAGUGAGGCUCCUAUGCGGAUACAUGCUGAUGCCCGGAAACAUCGAGAGAUGCCAAUGGGUCAACAGAUUCUACCGUUACAAGGUUUAAUCUAAUUCAGCCGGUACUACCUAUGCCGCAUAGUGCUAAAACCCAACGAGUGUGUUGAGAU
rnacentral:sRNA from 2 species